UCAAAAUGAUUGGAAUGUUGAACAUGCAGGUUGAAAGCUUUUGCUAAUUCCACCAUGUCCAGGGGUUUUAUGCAAAUCUAAAGAUUAUCAUAAAGAGUAUGCUUGUUUUCUGCUAAAGCAGGGAUAGAUGACUGUUAAGCUCCUCCUUAGCAGAUAAAGCAGACAGAUUUAGUGCCCUACCAGACUGAAUGGAGAAUGAAAAUGACAAGCAAUGGUGUUUUUGUUGUUUAGAUUUUUAUAUUUAACUAUCAUGAACUCUUCAUUAGAAGCUAAACCUUUUUUCCAAACUGUUUUAUACAAGUAUACAAAUUUAAAAGUUGUAACUAAUAUUGAUUUUCGUUUUUUGUUAUAUGAUGAUAAUCCUAACAACAAAUGCUCCACCGAGGUUGAUGCUUCUAGGUGCAGAUACAGUAUGGCAACAUAGAAUCUAUUACUUUGGUUGAUGUCUCAAGCUUUCAAGAUGUGGCAGUGUGUAUUUUCUCAGAGACAGGCUUCAAGGGACAGCAAUUCUUAUCUUAAAAAGUUUCCUCUCAAAUUAUAGGAAGAGAUUAGAGAUGUAAGGCGCCAAAGUGGAAACCUCUCUAUACGUCAAAGGGAUAUUCAGAGUCAAGUUCACACCCAGAUAGGAGGUGUUGGUCUGCAUGGAAAGGAGGAAUACCCUCACCUUCUCUCUAGUGAAGCUGGAUAGGGGCAAGGGCGCGCGAGAGAGCUGCCUCGCACGCCAUUAGCCAGAAUAUCAAUCAGAGCAAAAUUAUAUCCAAAGUUUCCUCAGAACAACCGAUGACUUGCACCAAUACACCAUCAUGGAUAUCCACAUUUUGGUAACAAGUCAGGCUUUUGGAUGUGAUAAAAGUAAAAAAAAAUUAGCUUGUUUGAGGUUUUGAGCUCCAAGGCCUAAAGUCAUUUGCUGCUGGUUCUUCCCAAGAAAGUUGAUUCUUUGCUACCUUAUGGAGGAAAAACUUGUUUAUCUCAGUAUCUUAUAUUAAUCAUUAAGUUUCCACCA